GACCCCUUUCUGCAAAUGAAGAAACCUGGCUGAGAGAGGUACAUAACCACCACGGGCGGGAGUCUGUCUGGGCCCUCCCAGGAGCCUGAAGGUUGUCUCACAGCAAGGACAGGCUGGUGUCAUGCCUAGUGGAUGAAUGAGCGUGCCUGCGGAAUGAUCCCAGAGCUACAGAAUGUCAUCCAGACCAAUGAGCGGGCCUGACCUGCCUUUGACUCCCUCUGAGAUUGUGCCCAGGAUGGAGGCAGAACCUGGUGGACUCUCCCCUGGCCCAGGAGCCAUCCUUAAGGCCUGCAUCCAGAAAGCCUUCAAGGAAAGAAACUCUUUUAACAGAAUGAGGACAACAGAAGCCACCUCGAGGUUGUUGUCACAAGUCAAUGACAUCAUGCAUGUAAGAGAACUGAGCCCAUUUCCCAGCACUCACUAUACAUUAGCUACUAUCAUCAAUAUGGUCAUUGUAAUGGUUUUUAUUGCUUGGACUUUGAUCACCAAGGGCCAGUCCAGAUAUUAGCCAGAAGGAAACAGGGCAGGAGUUUAUCAAAGCAAACUGUAGGACCCAAAUCUCCUCUGAUGGGGAAGGCUGCUGGUCAAGGCUCAUUCAGGGUGUAUUCCCUGAGCCUGCCCCUGAGCUGAGUCCUGGAAGGGACUUUCUGCCCUCAAGGAAAGUCUAGCUGGAGAGGCGGCCCUGACCCUUCCUAGACACUCCCAGGAGCCUCUUUGCUGCUGUACUAUCUCCAGUCUUGCCCCCUUUACCCUGUCCAUUCUCCAAGGGCAUCCAGAGGGGUCCCUGAAAAAGCAGAUCAGAUCCUGCACUGACCAGCUUCACCCCCUUGCAUAGCUCCCAGGGUUUGGAGAUAAAAGCCUAGCUCCUUGGUAAGGCCCCUAAGGCCCCUCAUGAUCCAUCCCCUGGGCUCCAACCCUGGCGUCUUCAGUGCGACUCUCAGAAUUGCCAUCCCCUCCUGCCACAGGGCCUCGGCACAGGCUGUUUCCGUUGCCUGGAAUGGAGGCCCCCUUGGCCCAAGUGGAUCCUGCACACCCUACAGUCUCUCCUCAUAGGCCUACCAGAUGCCCUCAGGUGAUGCCAGGUCACUCUGCAGACUUACCACAGUUCUAAUUAUACAUGUGUUUAUUUCAUGCCUUCCUCCCUCACAGGACUGUGGGGUCCAUGGUAGCCUGGGUUCCAGGGCAGGACACCUGGCAGGUAUUCCUAAAUACUUCCUGAAGGAAUUAACAAAUGUUUAUGAUACAAAAGAAAAAAGAAAAAGAUGAGAAUAUGCUCUGGGAGGUUUUUUAAGGGGCUCCAUUUGUGGUCAAUUUGGGUGGGCUUGCUGGAGGAGGCAGCAUUUGGGAGCAUAAUAGAAACAUUGAAAGUGAGGCAGUGAGUGGUCUUGCUGAGAUUAUUUAGGGGUAGGGAAGCCGCACAGCAGCAUUCCAGGCAGAAUCACAGCAGAGGCAAUGGUACAGAGGUAUAGGAAAGCCGUAAGUCUGGCUGCCUCAGAGGCCCAUGGAGAGAUCACAGGCCCCUCUGACCUCCAGUUACACACCACCACUUGAGCCCAGGCUGAUAACAUGGGGCACGACCCCUCGCAUAUGCACAGUGCAGAAGACACCCAGGUCAAGGGGUCUCCCCUAAGGAAGUCUGAAAGGAAGGAGGAAGGGGGCACCUGCUUAGGAAGAGGGUGAGCACGUGCAGAUGAGAGGGGGGAAAUGAGGACAAGAGAGACCCUCCUGACAUGUGCCAGUGCCCAGGACCGAGUGGCAUCAGUAAACAGAAAUCAGACACGCAUUUCUGAGGUCUCAGGAAGGGAUGUGAUAACCCAGAGCAGCCAGGGAGUGACUCACUGCCCCAUAAAUCCUCUGGCUAGCUGACACUUGCCUUAGCAUAAUCAGACUUCCCAGAGGUCUGGACAGCCACAAACACUCCAUCAGCCCUUUAAGCCCUUGGCCAGCUCUGACCCUGGGUGGGGAGUCCAGCACUGAGGACCGUGUGGUUGCAGGGAAGCUGACUCCCUCAGGGAGCUUCACCCCUGCAGCAGGAUCGCCACCUUCUCCCUCUGCCACCCUUCCAGCCCUGCCAGAGGUCCCAGCACCAGGCCAGCCUUCCUGGGGCUGACUCAAUGAUGUCGGUGAUUAUUCCCCAGGCCCUGUGUUCUGCACACUCCACAUGAGCAAACACUCUCAGCAGAGGCCGCCUGGCUGAGUGGCAAGUAAACCAUGUUCAGAGUCAAGAAAUAUGAGUCCAAAACCCAGCUCUGUUAUUAAUAAUAAUGAGGACUAUUCCGAUGCGCUAGUAAGAGUAAAACCAGAUGUACUUAUGCAGCCCUGUCUAAGCUUCAGGGGCUGUACCGGAGAUUUAUGGGACUUACCUUGUUUAAUUCUCACAAUCCGACGUGCAGAUGAGAGAAUGGAGGCUCAGAGAGGUCAAGCAACUUUCAAAGGGCCACACAGCUAGAAAGUGGCAGAGCUGGGGUCAAUCCAGAUAGUCUGUGCCAGAACCUAAACACUUCCAUAAUCCCAUUACCACACCAUGAGGCUUGAAUCAAGUAUCUUAGCCUCUCUGUGACUCACCUUCCCCAUCUGGACAAUGAGGGGAUUGGUCUAGCUGAGGUCUAAAUCCUUCCUAGUGUGCACAUGCCGUCUUUCCCCUCCCUGAUGGCCCAUUCUCAGGUGACACCAAAUAGGAGGGAUCUUCUGGCGGCCACAGCUUUCAGGAAGGAAGGUGUUAAUGGUGGGGACUCCAGCUCUGUGCUGGGUCACGGGGAGCUUCUGGGAAGUUAGAUUUUUCCAUCUGCCUCUACCUCCCCAAGUACCCAACUGGCCAGGAGUAGCCCUGGAGCAUCAAGGCAGGGAAGGGGUGCUAUACUAAGAGCCACCAAGGAGCACCAGGACCCCACGGUGCCCCGGCCCUAGGGACAAGCAAACAUUAGUGGGAGGGAGAAGCAAAAGGCAGGUGGCAGCCCUAUAAAUUCACCUGAGUGAGCAAUGCUUUUUAAAGCCUCUUUCACUACAGGAUACAAAACGCACCAUUCUGGGAAAGGAUUUUAUAGGCUAUUUCUCCUCCUGGGUGAUUUACCAUCUGUAGGCCUG